rnacentral:rRNA from 1 species
GACGAACGCUGGCGGCGUGCUUAACACAUGCAAGUCGAGCGGUAAGGCCCUUCGGGGUACACGAGCGGCGAACGGGUGAGUAACACGUGGGUGACCUGCCCUCAGCUUCGGGAUAAGCCUGGGAAACCGGGUCUAAUACCGGAUAUGACUACGGGACGCAUGUUCUGUGGUGGAAAGUUUUUCGGCUGGGGAUGGGCCCGCGGCCUAUCAGCUUGUUGGUGGGGUGAUGGCCUACCAAGGCGGUGACGGGUAGCCGGCCUGAGAGGGCGACCGGCCACACUGGGACUGAGACACGGCCCAGACUCCUACGGGAGGCAGCAGUGGGGAAUAUUGCGCAAUGGGCGGAAGCCUGACGCAGCGACGCCGCGUGGGGGAUGACGGCCUUCGGGUUGUAAACCUCUUUCGCCAGGGACGAAGCUUUUGUGACGGUACCUGGAGAAGAAGCACCGGCCAACUACGUGCCAGCCGCCGCGUAAAC